rnacentral:rRNA from 1 species
UAGGGAAUCUUCCGCAAUGGACGCAAGUCUGACGGAGCAACGCCGCGUGAGUGAAGAAGGAUUUCGGUUCGUAAAACUCUGUUGUUAGAGAAGAACAGCGCAUAGAGUAACUGUUAUGCGUGUGACGGUAUCUAACCAGAAAGCCACGGCUAACUACGUGCCAGCAGCCGCGGUAAUACGUAGGUGGCAAGCGUUGUCCGGAUUUAUUGGGCGUAAAGCGAGCGCAGGCGGUCAAUUAAGUCUGAUGUGAAAGCCCCCGGCUCAACCGGGGAGGGUCAUUGGAAACUGGUUGACUUGAGUACAGAAGAGGAGAGUGGAAUUCCAUGUGUAGCGGUGAAAUGCGUAGAUAUAUGGAGGAACACCAGUGGCGAAGGCGACUCUCUGGUCUGUAACUGACGCUGAGGCUCGAAAGCGUGGGUAGCAAACAGG